UUGUGAGGUUAAGCGACUAAGCGUACACGGUGGAUGCCCUGGCAGUCAGAGGCGAUGAAGGACGUGCUAAUCUGCGAUAAGCGUCGGUGAGGUGAUAUGAACCGUUAUAACCGGCGAUUUCCGAAUGGGGAAACCCAGUGUGUUUCGACACACUAUCAUUAACUGAAUCCAUAGGUUAAUGAGGCGAACCGGGGGAACUGAAACAUCUAAGUACCCCGAGGAAAAGAAAUCAACCGAGAUUCCCCCAGUAGCGGCGAGCGAACGGGGAGGAGCCCAGAGCCUGAAUCAGUGUGUGUGUUAGUGGAAGCGUCUGGAAAGGCGUGCGAUACAGGGUGACAGCCCCGUACACAAAAAUGCACAUAUUGUGAGCUCGAUGAGUAGGGCGGGACACGUGGUAUCCUGUCUGAAUAUGGGGGGACCAUCCUCCAAGGCUAAAUACUCCUGACUGACCGAUAGUGAACCAGUACCGUGAGGGAAAGGCGAAAAGAACCCCGGCGAGGGGAGUGAAAAAGAACCUGAAACCGUGUACGUACAAGCAGUGGGAGCCUCUUAAUGGGGUGACUGCGUACCUUUUGUAUAAUGGGUCAGCGACUUAUAUUCUGUAGCAAGGUUAACCGAAUAGGGGAGCCGAAGGGAAACCGAGUCUUAACUGGGCGUUAAGUUGCAGGGUAUAGACCCGAAACCCGGUGAUCUAGCCAUGGGCAGGUUGAAGGUUGGGUAACACUAACUGGAGGACCGAACCGACUAAUGUUGAAAAAUUAGCGGAUGACUUGUGGCUGGGGGUGAAAGGCCAAUCAAACCGGGAGAUAGCUGGUUCUCCCCGAAAGCUAUUUAGGUAGCGCCUCGUGAAUUCAUCUCCGGGGGUAGAGCACUGUUUCGGCAAGGGGGUCAUCCCGACUUACCAACCCGAUGCAAACUGCGAAUACCGGAGAAUGUUAUCACGGGAGACACACGGCGGGUGCUAACGUCCGUCGUGAAGAGGGAAACAACCCAGACCGCCAGCUAAGGUCCCAAAGUCAUGGUUAAGUGGGAAACGAUGUGGGAAGGCCCAGACAGCCAGGAUGUUGGCUUAGAAGCAGCCAUCAUUUAAAGAAAGCGUAAUAGCUCACUGGUCGAGUCGGCCUGCGCGGAAGAUGUAACGGGGCUAAACCAUGCACCGAAGCUGCGGCAGCGACACUAUGUGUUGUUGGGUAGGGGAGCGUUCUGUAAGCCUGUGAAGGUGGCCUGUGAGGGUUGCUGGAGGUAUCAGAAGUGCGAAUGCUGACAUAAGUAACGAUAAAGCGGGUGAAAAGCCCGCUCGCCGGAAGACCAAGGGUUCCUGUCCAACGUUAAUCGGGGCAGGGUGAGUCGACCCCUAAGGCGAGGCCGAAAGGCGUAGUCGAUGGGAAACAGGUUAAUAUUCCUGUACUUGGUGUUACUGCGAAGGGGGGACGGAGAAGGCUAUGUUGGCCGGGCGACGGUUGUCCCGGUUUAAGCGUGUAGGCUGGUUUUCCAGGCAAAUCCGGAAAACCAAGGCUGAGGCGUGAUGACGAGGCACUACGGUGCUGAAGCGACAAAUGCCCUGCUUCCAGGAAAAGCCUCUAAGCAUCAGGUAACAUCAAAUCGUACCCCAAACCGACACAGGUGGUCAGGUAGAGAAUACCAAGGCGCUUGAGAGAACUCGGGUGAAGGAACUAGGCAAAAUGGUGCCGUAACUUCGGGAGAAGGCACGCUGAUAUGUAGGUGAAGCGACUUGCUCGUGGAGCUGAAAUCAGUCGAAGAUACCAGCUGGCUGCAACUGUUUAUUAAAAACACAGCACUGUGCAAACACGAAAGUGGACGUAUACGGUGUGACGCCUGCCCGGUGCCGGAAGGUUAAUUGAUGGGGUUAGCGGUAACGCGAAGCUCUUGAUCGAAGCCCCGGUAAACGGCGGCCGUAACUAUAACGGUCCUAAGGUAGCGAAAUUCCUUGUCGGGUAAGUUCCGACCUGCACGAAUGGCGUAAUGAUGGCCAGGCUGUCUCCACCCGAGACUCAGUGAAAUUGAACUCGCUGUGAAGAUGCAGUGUACCCGCGGCAAGACGGAAAGACCCCGUGAACCUUUACUAUAGCUUGACACUGAACAUUGAGCCUUGAUGUGUAGGAUAGGUGGGAGGCUUUGAAGUGUGGACGCCAGUCUGCAUGGAGCCGACCUUGAAAUACCACCCUUUAAUGUUUGAUGUUCUAACGUUGGCCCGUAAUCCGGGUUGCGGACAGUGUCUGGUGGGUAGUUUGACUGGGGCGGUCUCCUCCUAAAGAGUAACGGAGGAGCACGAAGGUUGGCUAAUCCUGGUCGGACAUCAGGAGGUUAGUGCAAUGGCAUAAGCCAGCUUGACUGCGAGCGUGACGGCGCGAGCAGGUGCGAAAGCAGGUCAUAGUGAUCCGGUGGUUCUGAAUGGAAGGGCCAUCGCUCAACGGAUAAAAGGUACUCCGGGGAUAACAGGCUGAUACCGCCCAAGAGUUCAUAUCGACGGCGGUGUUUGGCACCUCGAUGUCGGCUCAUCACAUCCUGGGGCUGAAGUAGGUCCCAAGGGUAUGGCUGUUCGCCAUUUAAAGUGGUACGCGAGCUGGGUUUAGAACGUCGUGAGACAGUUCGGUCCCUAUCUGCCGUGGGCGCUGGAGAACUGAGGGGGGCUGCUCCUAGUACGAGAGGACCGGAGUGGACGCAUCACUGGUGUUCGGGUUGUCAUGCCAAUGGCACUGCCCGGUAGCUAAAUGCGGAAGAGAUAAGUGCUGAAAGCAUCUAAGCACGAAACUUGCCCCGAGAUGAGUUCUCCCUGACUCCUUGAGAGUCCUGAAGGAACGUUGAAGACGACGACGUUGAUAGGCCGGGUGUGUAAGCGCAGCGAUGCGUUGAGCUAACCGGUACUAAUGAACCGUGAGGCUUAACCUUACAACGCCGAAG
rnacentral:rRNA from 1 species